CGCAGCCCUGCAACAGAGGCACGGCACAGGCACGGGUCACGGGGAAUGCGCAUGCGCAAAUGACAUCUGUGGAUUUCCCAUGAUCCGUAACUGCGUCCUGCUCAAUGUCGUUUGCUGAACU
rnacentral:precursor_RNA from 8 species